rnacentral:rRNA from 1 species
CAGUCCCGCGGUAAAACGUAGGUCCCGAGCGUUGUCCGGAUUUAUUGGGCGUAAAGGGAGCGCAGGCGGUUUAGUAAGUCUGAAGUUAAAGGCUGUGGCUUAACCAUAGUACGCUUUGGAAACUGUUUAACUUGAGUGCAGAAGGGGAGAGUGGAAUUCCAUGUGUAGCGGUGAAAUGCGUAGAUAUAUGGAGGAACACCGGUGGCGGAAGCGGCUCUCUGGUCUGUAACUGACGCUGAGGCUCGAAAGCGUGGGGAGCAAACAGGAUUAGAUACCCCGGUAGUCCCUGUCUCUUAUACAC